rnacentral:lncRNA from 1 species
UAUCGGGAACAUAACCACCACCACCUCCGCCACCACCACCACUUCCACCGCCACCGGAAGGAGGAGGAGGGCAGUAGGCACUUGGUGGUUUCUUUGGCGGUGGUGGUGAUGGUGGUGGAAGAGCUGGUGGAGGUGGUGGUGGAGAUGGUGGAACACAAGGUUUGUUACAAGGACAACCUCCACACUUGUUUUCAUCUACUUCAUCAAGUUUUCUUGGAUUUAAUCCAUUGGUUAUUGGUAUAGCAAUCAAAAAUAAGAGAAAAAUCACGACCCGAAACAUUUUCAGAAGCUUGUUACUAAUAUCUUAUGAGUUCUUGAUAGAAGUGUGAAUUUCUUCUUUUUUCUUAGAAGAAAAAAUGGAUUUUUAUGAGUGUAUAUGACUAGAAUAUCAUGUUUAGGUAUGGUGACUUUGUAGUAGAAUAGAUCAAGUGAGAAAUGAAAAUGAAAGGAAAGUGUUUUGAGAAAUGAGAGAGAGUUUGUUACACUUCUUGAGAAUGCAUGGAAAUUGCAAGAAAAAGGAAUUUUAGGGGUUGUUGAUUAUGAGGUGUCU